GAUGAACGCUGGCGGCGUGCUUAACACAUGCAAGUCGAACGAUGAAGCCCAGCUUGCUGGGUGGAUUAGUGGCGAACGGGUGAGUAACACGUGAGUAACCUGCCCUUAACUCUGGGAUAAGCCUGGGAAACUGGGUCUAUACCGGAUAGGAGCGUCCACCGCAUGGUGGGUGUUGGAAAGAUUUAUCGGUUUUGGAUGGACUCGCGGCCUAUCAGCUUGUUGGUGAGGUAAUGGCUCACCAAGGCGACGACGGGUAGCCGGCCUGAGAGGGUGACCGGCCACACUGGGACUGAGACACGGCCCAGACUCCUACGGGAGGCAGCAGUGGGGAAUAUUGCACAAUGGGCGCAAGCCUGAUGCAGCGACGCCGCGUGAGGGAUGACGGCCUUCGGGUUGUAAACCUCUUUCAGUAGGGAAGAAGCGAAAGUGACGGUACCUGCAGAAGAAGCACCGGCUAACUACGU
rnacentral:rRNA from 1 species